CCUACGGGGGGCAGCAGUGAGGAAUAUUGGUCAAUGGACGCGAGUCUGAACCAGCCAAGCAGCGUGAAGGAUGACUGCCCUAUGGGUUGUAAACUUCUUUUAUAAAGGAAUAAAACGAGGCACGUGUGCCUUUUUGCAUGUACUUUAUGAAUAAGGAUCGGCUAACUCCGUGCCAGCAGCCGCGGUAAUACGGAGGAUUCGAGCGUUAUCCGGAUUUAUUGGGUUUAAAGGGUGCGUAGAUGGGUUGUUAAGUUAGUUGUGAAAGUUUGCGGCUCAACCGUGAAAUUGCAAUUGAUACUGGCAGUCUUGAGUACAGUUGAGGUAGGCGGAAUGCGUGGUGUAGCGGUGAAAUGCUUAGAGAUCACGAAGAACCCCGAUUGCGAAGGCAGCUUACUAAGCUGUGACUGACAUUGAGGCACGAAAGUGUGGGUAUCAAACAGGAUUAGAUACCCGUGUAGUC
rnacentral:rRNA from 1 species